rnacentral:rRNA from 1 species
GAAUAUUGGACAAUGGGGGCAACCCUGAUCCAGCAAUGCCGCGUGAGUGAUGAAGGCCUUCGGGUUGUAAAGCUCUUUUGGCGGGGACGAUGAUGACGGUACCCGCAGAAUAAGCCCCGGCUAACUUCGUGCCAGCAGCCGCGUUAAUACGAAGGGGGCUAGCGUUGGUCGGAAUUACUGGUCGUAAAGGGCGCGUGGGCGGCCUUGUUAGUCGAGUGUGAAAGCCCUGGGCUUAACCCGGGAAGCGCGCUUGAUACUGCAGGGCUUGAGUGUGGGAGAGGUUGGUGGAAUUCCCAGUGUAGAGGUGAAAUUCGUAGAUAUUGGGAAGAACACCGGUGGCGAAGGCGACCAACUGGACCACAACUGACGCUGAGGCGCGAAAGCGUGGGGAGCGAACCGG